CCUACGGGGCGCUGCAGUGGGGAAUAUUGGACAAUGGGCGAAAGCCUGAUCCAGCCAUGCCGCGUGUGUGAAGAAGGCCUUCGGGUUGUAAAGCACUUUCAGUGGGGAAGAAAGCCUUGGGGCUAAUACCCUCGAGGAAGGACAUCACCCACAGAAGAAGCACCGGCUAACUCCGUGCCAGCAGCCGCGGUAAUACGGAGGGUGCGAGCGUUAAUCGGAAUUACUGGGCGUAAAGCGCGCGUAGGCGGUCUGAUAAGCCGGUUGUGAAAGCCCCGGGCUCAACCUGGGAACGGCAUCCGGAACUAUCAGGCUAGAGUGCAGGAGAGGAAGGUAGAAUUCCCGGUGUAGCGGUGAAAUGCGUAGAGAUCGGGAGGAAUACCAGUGGCGAAGGCGGCCUUCUGGACUGACACUGACGCUGAGGUGCGAAAGCGUGGGUAGCAAACAGGAUUAGAUACCCGGGUAGUC
rnacentral:rRNA from 1 species